CUAGCGACUCAGAGUUUGAUCCUGGCUCAGGAUGAACGCUAGCUACAGGCUUAACACAUGCAAGUCGAGGGGCAGCAGGAACUUAGCUUGCUAAGUUUGCUGGCGACCGGCGCACGGGUGAGUAACGCGUAUCCAACCUGCCCAUUACUUGGGGAUAGCCUUGCGAAAGUAAGAUUAAUACCCGAUGUUGUUAAAAGCCCGCAUGAGUUUUUAACCAAAGAUUUAUUGGUAAUGGAUGGGGAUGCGUGACAUUAGGUAGUUGGUGAGGUAACGGCUCACCAAGCCCACGAUGUCUAGGGGUUCUGAGAGGAAGGUCCCCCACACUGGAACUGAGACACGGUCCAG
rnacentral:rRNA from 1 species